UUCAGUUUGUUGCAUAAUCAAUUGUUGAUGAGGAUGUCAAUUAUGUGGUCAUCUGCUUGGGAGAGUUAUGGGCCAACCGCCUUCCUGGACAUGUCUCAGGACAGCUUGUCCAAUGGAGACCAGUCCUCUCAGUCCAAAAUACAUUGGCUACCUAACAGCUAGGAGUUCCAUCUAUGUCUAGUUGAUCUAAUUUGCUAUUGGAUUGGUGUUACGCACGCCUCUAGGAAGAGGGAACGCAACACCCUGCUACAACUCAACGUGGAUUGAAAGAGGUAUGGGACUGUAGGUGCAAGUAAGGAUGACAAAGGCAGAGAAUUAACCUUUUACAGGGAAUUUAUUCAGUCACACGGUAAUGGAACCAAAGCAGAGAAAGUUAAAGAUCCCCCUCUCCUACUUUACCUACCCACAACUUACCUAACACGCAGCACCUGGCGCACUAACCAAAAUACAGGGGAUGGUCCAGACGGGUCUUACCUAGUGAGCAUAGACAAAGUACAUACUCGGGUAUAUUUAUGCCCGCAGGUCGCUUGCCUAAGCACUCCCUUCCCCCCUGGGAACAAAUUAAAACGAAUACAAACAUAAGUAAACCAUUUCAAUAAUCAAAAACACUGCGUCCUAUGGGGAACUGUCUCCGAGCAACAACCAACACAGAACAUAACCAUCAGCUCUCUCUCCUAACAAACGAACACUGGCUUUUAAAGCUUCAGAAGGAGUCGAUAAUUGAAGACAGCUGUAUCUCCUGAUUAGAGGGCGGGGUCAGAUCUCCAAUCAUUGAUGGGGCCGACCAAUCAGCUGCUUAGAAUUUCCGGAAGCCAUCCUGAAACACACACAUCCAAACAAAACCACAACACAGAAACUGGGGAACAUAACAAUUUGUUUGUUUCAGUGUGUUGUUCCACUCUCUUUACCAUCUGACACUUUGUCCCUGUUGAUCCACAUACCUACCCUGCUUCUGGAGACCCGGGGAGUCUCCUGACCAGAGGGCUUUGACUCCCCAGGAACGUCUUCACCACUGGGUUGUCCCAAUCCCGUUGGUCUGAGACCACUGAUGUCUACUCUCUUAAUAGGAACGAGGAGCUCUAAAGUAGCUGAAACCACCUCUCGGAUUGGGUAUUGCCUCACUUGAAAGCCUGGAGCCAAUCGUUCCAGUCUGGUUAUAAUCACUAUGACAACCCUGGCUACCUGUCAGUUACGAGUUCUACCUCUGUCUCGUGUGCUAGUUUGCCUAAUUUGUCUAAUUUGCUUGAUUUUGCAUUGAAUUGGUUUGUUUGAGUAUUGGUCCACUCUCUUUACCAUCUGUCACGUUAUCCUUGUUGAUCCACAAAGUCACCCUGUGUCUGGACUCCUGACUCCAGCAGAGCAGGGAGCCCCAAGCAGUCCAACAGCUCCAGGGAGACUCUUAACCAGAGGACUUUGACUCCCCAGGACUGUCCCCAUUGCUUUUUAACUCCUAAGGAUGAUGUGUUGUACUAGUUAAAUAAAAUGUAACAUGUGAACAACCACCAGGUUCUUCCUGGAGUCCCGGGACAUUCCCCGCCACUCUGCAACUCAUGUGGACAAUGAAGAGGCCCAGGACUUCAGAUGGGCUUUGCUUCUCCAGUUGAGAUCUCUGCAUUCCUACAAGAGGCUGAGAGUUGAGUCUCAGUCCAACA